GAAAGAACUAACCAGGAUUCCCCUAGUAACUGCGAGUGAAGCGGGAAAAGCUCAAAUUUGAAAUCUGGCGGUCUUUGGCCGUCCGAGUUGUAGUCUGGAGAAGCGCUUUCCGCGCCGGACCCGUGUACAAGUCCUCUGGAACGGGGCCGUCGUAGAGGGUGAGAAUCCCGUCUUUGACACGGACCGCCGGUGCUUUGUGAUGCGCUCUCGAAGAGUCGAGUUGUUUGGGAAUGCAGCUCAAAACGGGUGGUGAAUUCCAUCUAAAGCUAAAUAUUGGCGAGAGACCGAUAGCGAACAAGUACCGUGAGGGAAAGAUGAAAAGCACUUUGGAAAGAGAGUUAAACAGUACGUGAAAUUGUUGAAAGGGAAACGCUUGAAGUCAGUCGCGUCGUCCGGGAUUAACCUUGCGAUCUCGCUCGGUGUACUUCCGGUCGACGGGCCAGCAUCGAUUUCGAUCGUCGGACAAAGCGGGGAAACGUGGACCCUUUACCGGUGUGUUAUAGUCCCUCGUCGGUAUACGGUGUCGGGAUCGAGGAACUCGGCACGCCCUUCGUGGUCGGGGCUUCGGCCCACGUCUCGUGCUUAGGAUGCUGGCGUAAUGGCUUUAAACGACCCGUCUUGAAACACGGACCAAGGAGUCUAACAUGCCCGCGAGUGUUCGGGUGGAAAACCCGUGCGCGUAAUGAAAGUGAAAGUUGGGACCUUCGAGAGGAGGGCACCGACGCCCGGACCAGACCUUCUGUGACGGAUCCGCGGUAGAGCGUGUAUGUUGGGACCCGAAAGAUGGUGAACUAUGCCUGAAUAGGGUGAAGCCAGAGGAAACUCUGGUGGAGGCUCGUAGCGAUUCUGACGUGCAAAUCGAUCGUCGAAUUGGGUAUAGGGGCGAAAGACUAAUCGACCAUCUAGU
rnacentral:rRNA from 1 species